AUCAAAUAUUCAAAUUGGUUCAUCAAGAAAGUUAUUUUGCAUCAUUUUUUUAGGAUAGCACAAACACAUACAAGUUAAUCACAAUAAAGGAAUAACAAUAAGUUAAUCCUUAUAACACUUCAAAAAUCUAUUACACAAUUUUUCCUCCAAAUGAAACACUAAUUUUCCCCUCAAUUAGUGUAUAUAAGUAACCAUUCCAUCACACAUUCCAUUAUUUUUCAAUACUUUAAAGAUGGACAAAAAUGGAUGUAAGCAAUGAAGAGUUCAACUAAAUAGCCAUCUUUUUGUUGUAAAAUUCAACUGACGGAAAAUCCCAUCAGAAAAAAAUCAACGAGGCUACCACGAAAUUUGGUUUCUCACAAAAAACCAUAAGUCGCAUUUGACAGCGGGCAAAACAACAAUAUUCUUAUUGCCAAUGAAAAAUGCGGUAAAGAAAGGGCAAAGUCAACAGUUUCGAUGCAAACAAGUUGAAAGAUGUUCAUUGCAUCAAGAGAGGUACAUACAAGCCAACGGACACAAGAUUAAAAGAAACAUCAACAAUACUUCAUGAGUGAGAAUUGACGACGACAUCGUCAUCGGCAAUGACGUCACCAAAACUAAUUUUGGAAUUUUCGAUCGAAGCUAGAGAACACGAAAAAUCGAUUCCGACAUCUCAUUCGGCUCGUCAUGAAGAGGAUAUUCCAUUUAUGGUGAUAAAUAUAUAUUAUUAUAUAUUUUCCAGAGAUAAAUUGUAAGAUUUAAUUAAUGUUUUGGAUAGAUUCAUACUCGCUUUUGGCAUGUAUUGAUUUGUGCAAGGUAAUUGAGCGAUUCACGUCCAUGCCAUAUUUUCGAUCAAAUAAUUUUGGAAAGACUUGAAUUAAGCUCCAAUGCUAAGGAAAGAGGUGGAUUACGGAAUUAAAGCUUGAUUGUUGGCAUCGUGAUUAAUAAGGAGCAAUUAAAGGAGUGAUUGAGGACCCGGUCAUCUAUAAAAGGGGGGGGGGGGCAAGACAUUGGAUGUGGUAUCACAAUUCAUACUCACUUUUCAUAGUCUAAGUGGAGGAUUGAGA